ACAGGUUUUGAGCGGGUUCUUUCUCAAAAUAGAUCAGAAUUUGAACAAAAAAUCAGAUUAUUUGAAAUCAGAGUAUUUGAGCCAACAAAUUUUGAAUUCUCUGCAUCUCUCUUUCUCUUAUUUCUUUCUCGCUCUCUCUCACACCGGCAAGAUAGAAGGAGCUCACGGUGAUGGAAGGAGUAGCUGGAAGAGAAGAUAGAGAAUGGUGGUGGUCGGGAAAAGACUUCCUCCGGCGACGUUGUAGGGAAAAGAGGGUUAAGGGUGAGAGAAAGACAGAACGAAGCAAAAGAAGAAGGAGAAGAAGGUGGCGACGAACCGGCGUCCACUGUAGAACCGCGUCCACCGCAGAACAGCAUUUCGCAACCGAAGGUAGGUGCUGCAAAUGUGAUGAACCAGUUCAUUAGUUGUUGUACGUCGGGGAUUUGGACCUUGAGGUUGACCGACAAUAGGCACCUCUACGAUUUGUUCAUCCAAGUCCCGGCAAGUGGUUUCGGUUCAACCAGAAAUGAGUUUGCCUCCCUCAUCAACUAUGAAGAUGUUGGUUCCAACUAAUGCCGUUAGCAAAGUGCUAGGUAGAGGAGAGGCAAAUAUAGCUAAUAUCAGGAAGAAUAUAAUUAAAAAUGCAAAAUAAGAACUGUGCGCUUGAUGAGCUGGGCAAAAGGACACUACACGGAACGUGAUGAGUUGAUGUAUUCAGUGCUUGAUGUGGUGACGAAGGAAGCUGAGAAUUGUGAUUGCCUUCGUUGUGCAUGAUAUUCUUUUUGGUCAAGUGAGGUGGUUUUUGAGUUCUCUUUGAUAUUUCAAUUCACUUUUUACUAUUUAUUCAUGGUUGGUUUGUUUUUAUUAUGAUGUAAUUAAUAUUUUGUUUUCUGUUGUUCGUUAUUUCUUUAUCAAUUAUAUCACAUAUAUAUAUAUGCAUAUUAAGUGCUUAAUUGUAUUCUAAAACCAAGAAGAAUAAGAAGAAAGAAAUGGAGAUAUUCCUUAGAGGAUGCACGCCACCUCACACAUCACUAUGAGAAACUUUGUCAAGAAAUAGAAGCCCAGGCUGCUGAAGUUUUCAGGCAUCAAUCAAAGUUGAACGAUACUGAAGUAUCUGUAGACAAUUCCAUGAGGCUUCAAACCAUAUAAACAAGGUUGAAAGAGCUUAAAUCUGCCUUGACGGCACUUGGUAGGGAAGCAAUCACUGCUAUUUUAUCAGUUGAAAAGAACAAAAGCAAGAAAUAACUAGCCAGAGCCUUUAUACAAUGGAUGGGACCAGCAUCUAUUGAAUUGAGUUUCAUCCAUACUGAUUGAGCAAUUUCAAAAAUCCAUUCCCCAUCUAAGGAAGCUUCCUACUGAUAUUUUGAGCAAAUCCAAAAACAACCACUGCCUAGAUAAGCAAUGAACAAACCACUACGGCUGCAAUGCUUUCCUUCAUUCAAACUUCAAUUUCGUGGGAAGGAAUUCCAAUGCAGCUUGCUCAUGACGGCUUGAGAGUCCUCAUAAACUUAUAAGAAUAGGAAAAGUGUACUGGAUGGAGUGAGGGCAGUAAUUUCAGUAAAGAAAAUCCUAUUAGUGGAGAGAACAUUGGAGAAUAGACAUUAUUUGGCAUUGAACCUUUGUUUGUUGAAGAGAUUGCUUUUGUGGUUGCAAAUAGUCAGAUGUUUUUAAGUUCCUCCAUUUCUUUAUCCAGAACAUAUUGGUGAUGCAUUGAGUGGCGGUAGAUCGUAAGAUUAUUUUUAAAGAGGUACUAUUCAAGGCAAGAUUAUUUUUAAAGAUGUACUAUUCAAGUUUUCUGAUCUAUGAAUGUUGAAAGGGUUAGAUUAAUUUCAUUAUCAUCUCCAUUUAAAGUUAGAUGUAUCCUAAAGAUAAUUGCAUUACAAUUUACUCUUCAAAAUGAGGAUCACAAAGUGAUACUCCCCGUACUCUCAAAAGAAAACAUCUAAGAGAGACACUUACCUUAAGGUAUUUCUUUUUUUAUUUCAUAUGUACUGCACCACUUCAGUUUAUAGCUGAAUCUUAAUUUAAAAGAAUUAAAAAAAACUCCCAACUAAGUAGUUCUUUUUUUUCCUUUAUACAUGUAUACAUAUGCAAUGAAUUAAUUACAUAUUGGUGUUUGCAAAGAAUCAGCUAUUAAUAGGUUUUUGCAAAGUCAUCAUAAAGCAUUCUAAUAAGCAAUAUAUUGGUGUUUCUUAAGGUCCUUUAAUACUUUACUUUAAUAAGCAUUCCAUGCUUUGUUCUAUCUGUGUGUAAUUCUAAAAUUAUUAUGAAAAGUUUGACUAAAGGAAACUCAUAUAUGUUCCUAUUGUUGAAUCUGAAAUUUUGAUUUUAUAGCUUCUUUUUUUUAGAUUUAUACAUGAUAGGGUUGUGGGAACUUCGUGAUAAUUUGGAGGAGGCUUUUAUCUUUGUUUGACCAAGUGAUUUGGUGUGUUUGUUGUUGUUUACAGUUUUUGUUGUUGGGUGCAGUCCCAUCUUCAAAAAUGUAUUUGACAAGUGUAUAGGCUAAUUAAUCAAUAAGUGUUCAGUUUAAAUGUAUGACAAGUGUCCAGUUUUGAUAUCAAAAUGUUCAGAUAACAUUCAUUGAGCGGUAAGUUUCAACCAAAAAAAUUUUGAAUUUCAAAUCUAUGGUUUAAAUAUCUCUUUUGCCCAUAUGACUGUUAUGUAGUUUUUGUUGACUGAUAUAAGAUAACUUUCUCGGCAAAAAGAACUCUUUGGCUACUGCACUAUGAGGAAGUUCCAAAAAAAUAGGUUGAAGACAAUCUUUUCUCAUUGGGGGUUGUCUCCAUGGUUCCUUUGAAAGAAAAAGAGAAUAUAUGUGGAUUUUGAGUCAAAGUGUGAAAAAAUUGUGGUCGCAAUAUAGGAGGAACUAGAAGGGCAAAGGUAAAUGACAAACAUGUCACGACAUGUAAGAAUAUGUUUUAUAUAGUUCUGUUUUGUAAUAGCAUUACAGCAGUGUUCUACAACUGUAGUUUUUCUUUUGUAAUCUCAAUGCCAUAAUUUAUGACUUUAGAUUUUGGAUGUUUUAAAUGUGGUUUUGCAAAUCAUAUUGCCAAGCGAGUAGUAAUAGGUUUCUAAUGAAAUAACGUGCAAAAAUCACAAAACGCAGAUAACACCAAGUCUGUAGAUAUGAUUGUAUAUUCUUAUUUAAUAUUUUAGUUCGGUAAUUAUGUUUAC